rnacentral:lncRNA from 1 species
GUGCCUUGGUGACCUGCAGUGAAUCUAUCCUUGCUGCAAUAAUUCUUUCUGGAUUUCAGCUGGUGGUUAAAUUGUUUAACCAUCCUCGGUUUGCAUUUCUUGAACCCCCUAUGAUCUCACACUCACUAAACACUGCCCUUAUGUAUAUAUGCCUCUAUGUUGAUAUGUUUAGUUACUGUACAUUGUAACCUGUUACAUUAGUUUGCGAUAUCUUGUAAUAGUUGCUUGUGAUCAAUUAAGUUUGGGUGAUUCAAAUUGAGCCUUGACCUGAGAACUUGAUUCUCACGGAAUCCUGGUGAAUUUGAUCAACCCUAGGUCCUGCAUAUACUGAUUCUUUAAUUCUGAGAUAUUGUUUUACCUGCAUUGUUGUAUUUUCUUGAUUCCUGUGGUGUUUAUAUUAGAAUACCUAAUGUUCCUGCUAUUGAUUGAAACUGUUUGUGAAUAAAAAUAAUUGUGGCUCAUUUUCUUUGACUGCAUAUUACUUUAUAUGAUCUAAAACAUAAAUUUUUUGUGAAGGUCAAUUUCAACAGUUUUCAAAAGGUUGAUUCUCUGUUUUGUUAUAAUUUGUGAAAAAUUACUGUGUGUUAGUUCUUCACAUAUAAAACAUGACAAAAUCCUUUGAACUUGGUGUUUUUGAUGGAAAAGGGGAUUUUCCCAUUUGGCAACAAAAAAUGAGAGGUGUUUUAGUUCAGCAAAAGGUUUCUAAAGC